rnacentral:rRNA from 1 species
AAUAGAUACCCUGGUAGUCCACGCCGUAAACGAUGAGUGCUAAGUGUUAGAGGGUUUCCGCCCUUUAGUGCUGCAGCUAACGCAUUAAGCACUCCGCCUGGGGGAGUACGGCCGCAAGGCUGAAACUCAAAGGAAUUGACGGGGGCCCGCACAAGCGGUGGAGCAUGUGGUUUAAUUCGAAGCAACGCGAAGAACCUUACCAGGUCUUGACAUCCUCUGCCAACCCUAGAGAUAGGGCGUUCCCCUUCGGGGGACAGAGUGACAGGUGGUGCAUGGUUGUCGUCAGCUCGUGUCGUGAGAUGUUGGGUUAAGUCCCGCAACGAGCGCAACCCUUGAUCUUAGUUGCCAGCAUUCAGUUGGGCACUCUAAGGUGACUGCCGGUGACAAACCGGAGGAAGGUGGAGAUGACGUCAAAUCAUCAUGCCCCUUAUGACCUGGGCUACACACGUGCUACAAUGGAUGGUACAAAGAGCAGCGAACCCGCGAGGGUAAGCCAAUCUCAUAAAGCCAUUCUCAGUUCGGAUUGGU